ensembl:lncRNA
CCAGCUCUGUUCCUGUGUGGCGUGUGAUUUGUAGGAGUGACACAACUGGUUCUUCUUGGAAUAAUGGGGGUAUCGGACUAGAAUUAUUUGAAAGUUUUAAAUUUCUAAAAUUCAAGGAAAAUGGUGACAAAUCCAAAUAGAAUCGAUCUCUAACAUCUUUUUUUUUAAUCACUUAUGGAAGAAACGUGUGAAGAACUUCCAUCCGGAAAUGAACGACUCGACAAGGAAAGUCAAACCAUUCAUCUUAUCUGAAUUACUUCUGCCUACCUUGAUAUACCUUCUCCCACUGCUUUUCCUCUCUGACAUUUUAAAUUGUCUUAAUUCUCUUUAACUUGACUUAUUUCCUUCAGCCAUAUAUCUGUCUGUUGAAUCUUUUUUCUAUGUUUGUGUUCUCGAUCUUUUGUUGGUUUCAUUUCCCCUGUAUUGUUUUCUACAUUCCAGAAAGGAAGAAAAAUUACAUCAUGACAUCCUCUGGCUACCCAAGGACAUAACAUUUUAGAUGCAGGCUGCCAAGGGAGGAAGAUGUGUGAGGCACUGCCAGCCAUGCCAGCCAGACAGUGGUGGAGUCUUUGAGGUGCAAGAAAGCCUGUAAGUUUUUAAGAUGUAUGAAGGUCAUUGUGAUAAAUGUUUUCCAAGCACUUGUCAUAGAGGACAGCUAUGAUAAAACCACAAGGACCACAGCUGCAUGUAAGGAACAUAUAGGUAGCUGCAGAUGAAUGCUCAGGUCUAUGGUGUUUAGAAAUUUUUCAUUGCCUCAAGUGUGUCAUGCAAUAUUUUGGAAGGAAAAAUGAGGACUUGGUCAAGAACAGAUGGAUAGAAGCAAGCGAUAAAAAUCAAUAUUUUAUUUGACAUUGAUAAGCUCACAAUAAAUUUGUAGAAAAAGCAAAACAAAAUAAUUAAUCUAUCAUUGAUGAUUCAGUUUCUGCUAUGUGUAAGUUCUAAAGACUGUUUGAGUUGAAAGCAAUCAAUUAGGCAUUAGUUAGGGUUGGCAAGUCACUUUUUGGAUCACUCUUUAGAUCAAGAGAUUACCACUUACUUUUCUAAUUUUCCAAAAUGCAUGGCACAUUAAUUAAGAUUAGGCUUGGCUAUAAAUAAUAGAAAACUCACAAUAAUAGUGAUAACCAAGAUAGAAGUUUUUUCUUGGGGCCAGCCCAGUAGCCAAGCAGUUAAGUUCAUGCGCUCUGCUUUGGCGGCCCAGGGUUUGCAGGUUUGGAUCCUGGGUAUGGACCUACACACCACUCAGCAAGCCAUGUUGUGGUGGCAUCCCACAUAGAAGAGCUAGAAUGACUUACAACUAGGAUAUACAACUAUGUACUGGGGCUUUGGGAAGAAAAAAAGAGGAAGAUUGGCAACAGAUGUUAGCUGAGGGCCAACACUCUUCACCAAAAAAACUAUAUAUAUGUUUUUUUUUAAAAAAGAAGUUUGUUUCUUGCUUAUAUACAUACAAUCUGGAAGUAGGCACCUAGAACCAGUAUGGAAGCUCCAGGAUGCUCCUAUGUGCUGCUCUGUCAGUCUCGGAGGAAGAUCGCUGCUGGGAUUUAACCAUUUACAUCUUCAUUCCAGCCAGCAAGAAGAAGAAUAUACAGAGGUAUAAUAACUGCAUUGAAGUGGAUUUGUCAUCUAAUAGCCUUAAAUGAUCCCUCUCUUUCGGCUGCAUUUCCCUCCAUUAUUUACUAUGCCUCCCAAUAGCUUAUCAUCCACUGCUGUCUACUUUCCUCUUUGUCCUUAAUUUCCUAAGACAGAUUUCCACUUAAGAGACUGAGAAACUAUUAGAUGGAGAGUUUCCACAAACCACAGGAGCAUAAGGUCUUCUGCAAAGAGACACAUUCACCUACUAUGGGUUAAAGAGAGAAAGUUGCAUUACAUCUUCCACACUGACAAACCCAGAUGCUAUCAACGUGAAGAGGACAUAAUUGCAUUUGAAUUGAGGAAAUCUACAUGCAUAACUCUUAUUAACACAAAUACGAUAGAAGCUAAGUGUCUAAAUUCCUGUGCAGAGGAAAAAGAAGUAGCUAUAUUCCCAGUCUAAUGUAAAACAUGGCCUCCUAUAUUUGAGUUGGAAUUUUCAUAACUGUUUAGUAUUAGUCUGUGAGUUGUUCUAGGGACAGGCAAUAUCAAAGAAGAAAACAGUACUCAAUCUCCAUAAAACAUUUUAGCAACACUUAGAGAAGCAGACUACUCGAUAUUUAUUUUGGAAAUUAGCCAGCUAUCUACAAUAUGUUUUCAAAUUAUGCAUGCAUUGGUAGUAUUCCAUUGCAAUUGGCAAGGCCACUAUAUAUCUUUAUCUUUGCUAUAUUUGGAACACAGGAAAAUGUCAGUAUUUCCUUUCAUGGUAACAUUUUGGAGCUAACAAUAUUCACUAGUAUGAAAAGCAUUUUCUGAUCAAAAGAGUUGUUCUUAAAUAUGUGUUUGUUCCGUGGCUGGCCCAGUGGCAUAGUGGUUAACUUCACGUGCUCCACAUCGGUUGGGGGGGUUCGCCGGCUGGGAACCACUCAUCAAGCCAUGCUGUGUUGGCAUCCCACAUAGAAGAGCUAGAAGGACUUACAACUAGGAUAUACAACUAUGUACUGGGGCUUUGGAGGGAAAAAAAGGGGGGGAAGAUUGGCAACAGAUGUUAGCUCAGGGCCAAUAUUCCUCACAAAAAAAAGAAAAAAAUUAUGUGUUUGUUCAAAGAUUAUAUGACAUGUUGAAGAUUAUGUCUUUAUAGAUCUUUUCAUUUAAUUUGUAAUGACUUCAAAUGAUUAAAAAGAAUACAAAUGAAUUAUUUAACUUCUCAAAAGAAAAAUAAAAUAAUAUGACCAUGCCCUACAUAAUUUUGACAAAUUAUCCACCAGUGAUAAAUAAAUUACAUGGGUUGAUUAUUGAACCAAACACUACCAUCUAAGUCAUGUUGCUAUGCAUCACCAGGUGGCUUUUUAUUUACCUUGUCUGAAUGGAGUUCUAUACCUUCAAUCUCCUUAUAAGUCCCUGCUAAGACUCGAGAAAUUCUUGACGGAGGGUGUGGGAGGGGGUUGAGUUAGAAGCAUCAUGAGGACACAUAAGUGUUGGUAAGGUUUGGACAAAUUAUUACAGCAUAGGCAGCAAACUUGAAGCAUAUGGAAGCAACUAUCUUUAGUUUUGAACCUAAGAAUUAAGUGACUAAAUUUUAAACUUUUCACUUGUUUUUCAUCUAUAUUUAUUUCAUGUUAUUAGAUAUUUAUUAGAUUCAGAGACUCAUUUGCUCUGUGUGUACUUUGUUACUCAAGGCCAUACUUAUUUCAUCAUGAGAAACAUUUAUGCUAUGUCUACACUCAACACUAAUGCAUAUAUGACCCAAAACAUGUGGUUUGGCUGUGUCUGUGUAUACAUCUGACACAAGGUAUAAUGACAACAAAAAGAACAAAUACACAAAUAUAACGAUCAAUAAUUCCCAUCACCACCAUCUUAUAUUUAAGCAUGUACUCCUUGUGAGACUAAAUACUUUACACAGGAAUUUGGGGGGACAUAACUCCAUGGAGCACUUUUUUUUUUUUCGAGGAAGAUUAGCCCUGAGCUAACAUCUGCCAAUCCUCCUCUUUUUUGGUGAGGAAGACUGGCCCUGAGCUAACAUGCAUGCCCAUCUUCCUCUACUUUAUAUGUGGGAUGCCUACCAGAGCAUGGCCUGCCACGCGGUGCCAUGUCUGCACCGGGAUCAGAACCGGCAAAUCCCAGGCCGCCGAAGGGGAACAUGCGCACUUAACUGCUGCGCCACCAGGCCGGCCCUUUGGGGCACAUUUUUACCAAUGAAGAAACUAUGUCACAAGAGAGGUUAUGUUACAUACCAAAAGUAAAUGGCUAGUAAAAGAUACUGUCUAAAUUUGAAAGCAGUUUCAUAUUUGUUGAAGUACUUGAAUAAAUGAAUAAAUCAAUAAAUGAUUCUAAAGCUCACAUUUUUUUCCAUGUUGAUAGAUUCACAGCAUUUAUUUUCUAAAAGCCCAUGUUUCUUAACCAUUUACACUAACACAAUAAUUCUGAAUUUACCAAUCAGGUCCUGAUUAGGCAAUAAGGAGAAACCUGAGUAUAUAAAUACACUGGGUGUAUGUAUUCUGCAAAUCUUUUUGAAUUAGUAAAGUUAAGUGACUCAUUUGAAGGUCUCUAAUGAGAGUAGGGUCAUGGCUAGAACACAGAUAUUUCUGACUCCUUGUCCAAUGUAGUUCCCAUCCAGUGACACCUGUUACUUAGUGACAGCUACCAUCAUCUAGGAUACCUUAUAUCUAUAUAGAUAUAGAUAUGUUAUAUCUAUAUAUUGGGAGCAGUUAAAAAAUCAAAAGGCACAUCUUAUUUAUCACCUGCCAUCACAUAAGAUAAAUCCUGUUUUUUUUCCUAUACAUUGUACCCUCUGAUUCUACA